rnacentral:rRNA from 1 species
CCUACGGGAGGCAGCAGUGGGGAAUAUUGCGCAAUGGGCGAAAGCCUGACGCAGCGACGCCGCGUGAGGGAUGAAGGUCUUCGGAUCGUAAACCUCUGUCAGCAGGGAAGAACGGUCACUGUGCUAAUCAGCAGUGAAUUGACGGUACCUGCAAAGGAAGCACCGGGUCACUCCGUGCCAGCAGCCGCGGUAAUACGGAGGGUGCGAGCGUUAAUCGGAAUUACUGGGCGUAAAGCGCUCGUAGGCGGUAUGUCAAGUCAAGGGUGAAAGCCCCGCGCUCAACGUGGGAACUGCCUUUGAAACUGGUAAACUGGAGUGUGUGAGAGGAUAGUGGAAUUCCAGGUGUAGGAGUGAAAUCCGUAGAUAUCUGGAGGAACAUCAGUGGCGAAGGCGACUAUCUGGCACAUAACUGACGCUGAGGAGCGAAAGCGUGGGUAGCAAACAGGAUUAGAUACCCCAGUAGUC